rnacentral:lncRNA from 1 species
UUUUUUCUUUUUUUUUUUUUUUGUCUUUUUAGGGCCGCAUCAGUGGCAUAUGGCGGUUCCCAGGCUAUUGGUCCAAUUAGAUCUGUAGCCGUGGGCCUACCCACAGCCACAGCAAUACUGGAUCCAAGCCACGUCUUCGACCUGCACCACAGCUCAUGGCAACACCGGAUCCUUAACCCACUGAGCAAGGCCAGGGAUCAAACCUGUGUCCUCAUGGAUUCAUUUCCACUGAGCCACAAUGGGAACUCCCUGCAAAUUUCUAAUUGAGAAAAAUAAAACUGAAAUUAUAAAUCAAGCAAGGAACUUUCAGUGUAAAUUACAUUAUCACAACUGGUUUAAAAACCUAAAUAUUGGGAACCCUCCUACACUGUUGAUGGGAAUGUAAAUUGAUGUAGCCACUAUAGAGAAGAGUAUGGAGUUUCCUUAAAAAACUAAGAAGAGGAGUUCCCAUUGUGGCACAGCGGAAACAAAUCUAAUAAUCUUGAGGUUGCGGAUUUGAUCCCUGGCCUCACUCAGUGGGUUAAGGAUCCGGCACUGCCAUGAGCUGUGGUGUAGGUCACAGACACAGCUCAGAUCCCGAGUUGCUGUGGCUAUGGCGUAGGCUGGCAGCUGCAGUUCCAAUUAGACCCCCAGCCUGGGACCUUCCAUAUGCCCCAGGUGCGGCCAGGAAAAAAAAAAAAAACUGUAUUUAAAAAAAAGAAAAAAGAUAUAUGCACCCCAAUGUUCACAGCAGCACUAUUUACAACAGCGAAGACAUGAAAGCAACCUAAAUACCCAUCAACAGAUGAAUGGAUAAAGAUAUGGUAUAUACACACAAUGGAAUACUACUCACCCACAAAAAAGAGCAAAAUAAUACCAUUUUUUGCAGCAACAUGGAUGAACCUAGAGAUUAUCAUACUGAGUGAAGUAAGUCAGAAAGUAAAGACAAAUACUGUAUGAUAUCACUUUUAUGUAGAAUCUAAAAAAAUACAAAUCAACUUAUUUACAAAACAGAAAAAGACUCACAGAAAUAGAAAACAAAGUUAUGAUUACCUCAGAGUUCCCUUCGUGGCUCAGUGGUUAACGAAUCCAUGAGGUUGUGGGUUCAAUCCCUGGCCUCACUCAGUGGGUUAAGUAUCUGGCAUUGCCGUGAGUUGUGAGGUAGGUUGCAGAAUGCAGCUCGGAUCCUGAGUUGCUGUGGCUCAGGUGUAGGCCAGUGGCUACAGCUCCGAUUAGACUCCUAGCCUGGGAACCUCCAUACACCACAGGUGUGGUCCUAGAAAAAACAAAAAAGACCAAAAAAAAAAGUUAUGAUUACCAAAGGUGAAAGAGUUGGGGGAAGGAUAAAUUAGGAGUUUGGGAUUAAAAGAUACAUACUACUGUAUAUAAAACAAAUCACCUACUGUAUAACACAGGGAACUAUAUUUAAUAUCUUGUAAUAACCUAUAUCAAGUGGGAUUACAUCAAACUUAAAAGCUGCAUAACGAGAGAAAUGAUCAACAAAAUGAAAAGGCAAUCUACAGAAUGGGAGAAAAUUUUUGCAAACCAUAUAUUGGAUAAGGAGUUAAUAUCCAAAAUAUAUAAAGAAUUCAUCCUACUCAGUAAAAAACAAACAAACAUCCUAAUUAUAAAUGGGCAGAGGAACUAAGCAGACAUUUUUCCAAAGACCUCCAAAGGGCCAACAGAUAAAUGAAGAGAUGUGCAACAUCCCAAAUCAUCAGGUAGUUGCAAAUCAAAACCACAAUGAGAUAACACCUCACCCCUCUUAGAAUGGCAGUCAUUAAGAAGACAAGAGAUAGCAAGUGUUGGUGAGGAUGUGAAGUAAUGGACUUCUUUGUGCACUGCUGGUGGAGAUGUAAAUUGGUUUAGCCUCUAUGAAAAAUACUACGGAAUUCCUCAAAAAAAAAUUAAAAAUAGAUCUAACAUAUGAUCCAGCAAUUCCACUUCUGGGUCUAUACCCAAAGGAAAUGAAAAUUGGUAUCAAAGAGAUAUAUGUACUCCCAUGUUUAUUGCAGCAUUAUCCAUAAACACACACACACAACAUGGUAUUAUUCAGCCAUGACAAAGAAGGAAAUCCUGCCAUUUGCAACAACCUGGAUAGACCUUGAGGAAAUUAUGCUAAGUGAGAUAAGUCAGUCAGAGAAAGACAAAUAUCAUGUGAUAUCACUUACAUGCCAACCUCGGAGUUCCCACUGUGGUGCAAGGAGAUCUGCAGCAUCUCUACAGUGCUGGGACACAGGUUCAAUCCCCGUCCCAGCUUAGUGGGUGAAGGAUCAAGCAUUGCCACAGCCAGCCAUCGGUGGCAACUGGGGCUCAGAUCUGAUCCCUGGCCCAGGAGCUCUAUGUGCUGUGGGGUGGCCAAAAAAAGAAAAAACAAAAACAAAAGCAGGAGUUCCCGUUGUGGCUCAGCAGUUAACGAAUCCGACUAGGAACCAUGAGGGUUAAGAAUCUGGCGCUGCCAUAAGCUGUGGUGUAGGUUGCAGACACAGCUCAGAUCCUGUGUUGCUGUAGCUGUGAUAUAAGCCGGCGGCUACAGCUCUGAUUAGACCCCUAGCCUGGGAACCUCCAUAUGCCUCGGGUGCGGCCUAGAAAAGACACCAAAAAAAGGCAAUAUAUAAUGUAUCAAAACAAAGAGUUCCCGUCGUGGCGCAGUGGUUAACGAAUCCGACUAGGAACCAUGAGGUUGCGGGUUCGAUCCCUGCCCUUGCUCAGUGGGUUAACGAUCCGGCAUUGCCGUGAGCUGUGGUGUAGGUUGCAGACGCGGCUCGGAUCCCGAGUUGCUGUGCCUCUGGCGUAGGCCGGUGGCUACAGCUCCGAUUCAACCCCUAGCCUGGGAACCUCCAUAUGCCGCGGGAGCGGCCCAAGAAAUAGCAACAAUAACAACAACAA